rnacentral:rRNA from 1 species
CCUACGGGUGGCAGCAGUGGGGAAUAUUGGGCAAUGGAGGAAACUCUGACCCAGCCAUGCCGCGUGAAUGACGAAGGUCUUCGGAUUGUAAAGUUCUUUAGUCAGGGAAGUAUAAAAUGACGGUACCUGACGAAUAAGCUCCGGCUAACUACGUGCAAGCAGCCGCGGUAAUACGUAGGGAGCACGCGUUGUUCGGAAUGACUGGGCGUAAAGGGUACGUAGGCGGUUAUACAAGUUAGAGUGGAAAAAUCCAGGGCUUAACCGGGGUGUUGCAUCUAAAACUGGAAGACUUGAGUGCAGUAAGGGAUGGUGGAAUUCAUGGUGUAGCGGUGAAAUGCGUAGAGAUUAGGAGGAACUCCGAAGGCGAAGGCAGGUGACUGGACUGCAACUGACGCUGAGGCACGAAAGUGUGGGGAUCAAACAGGAUUAGAUACCCUUGUAGUC